rnacentral:rRNA from 1 species
UACGAGGGGUCCUAGCGUUGUUCGGAAUUAUUGGGCGUAAAGAGUAUGUAGGCGGCCAGAUCAGUCAGGUGUGAAAUCCCCGGGCUCAACCCGGGAAGUGCAUCUGAUACUGUCUGGCUUGAGUAUGGAAGAGGGUAGUGGAAUUCCUGGUGUAGUGGUGAAAUACGUAGAUAUCAGGAGGAACACCGGUGGCGAAGGCGGCUACCUGGUCCUAUACUGACGCUGAGAUACGAAAGCGUGGGGAGCAAACAGG